GAUGAACGCUGGCGGCGUGCCUAAUACAUGCAAGUCGAGCGAACGGACGAGAAGCUUGCUUCUCUGAUGUUAGCGGCGGACGGGUGAGUAACACGUGGAUAACCUACCUAUAAGACUGGGAUAACUUCGGGAAACCGGAGCUAAUACCGGAUAAUAAUUUGAACCGCAUGGUUCAAAAGUAAAAGACGGUCUUGCUGUCACUUAUAGAUGGAUCCGCGCUGCAUUAGCUAGUUGGUAAGGUAACGGCUUACCAAGGCAACGAUGCAUAGCCGACCUGAGAGGGUGAUCGGCCACACUGGAACUGAGACACGGUCCAGACUCCUACGGGAGGCAGCAGUAGGGAAUCUUCCGCAAUGGGCGAAAGCCUGACGGAGCAACGCCGCGUGAGUGAUGAAGGUCUUCGGAUCGUAAAACUCUGUUAUUAGGGAAGAACAUAUGUGUAAGUAACUGUGCACAUCUUGACGGUACCUAAUCAGAAAGCCACGGCUAACUACGUG
rnacentral:rRNA from 1 species